ACGGGAGGCAGCAGUGGGGAAUAUUGCACAAUGGGGGAAACCCUGAUGCAGCGACGCCGCGUGAAGGAAGAAGUAUUUCGGUAUGUAAACUUCUAUCAGCAGGGAAGAAACUGACGGUACCUGACUAAGAAGCACCGGCUAAAUACGUGCCAGCAGCCGCGGUAAUACGUAUGGUGCAAGCGUUAUCCGGAUUUACUGGGUGUAAAGGGAGCGUAGACGGAGAGGCAAGUCUGAAGUGAAAGCCCGGGGCUCAACCCCGGGACUGCUUUGGAAACUGCAGUUCUAGAGUGCCGGAGAGGUAAGCGGAAUUCCUAGUGUAGCGGUGAAAUGCGUAGAUAUUAGGAGGAACACCAGUGGCGAAGGCGGCUUACUGGACGGUGACUGACGUUGAGGCUCGAAAGCGUGGGGAGCAAACAGGAUUAGAUACCCUGGUA
rnacentral:rRNA from 1 species